AUACUUACCUGGUAGUGCAAAUGUCAUGAUCACAAAGGUGAUUUUCCCAGGGCAAAGCUUAUUUAUUGAACUCCUGAAAUGGAUGCGCUGACCCCUGAGAUUUCCCAAAAUUUGAGAAGCCAUCUGCAUAAUUUGUGGUAGUUGUGGACUACAUUCACAUUCUCCACUA